rnacentral:rRNA from 1 species
GUAUAGUACCGUGAGGGAAAGGUGAAAAGAACCCCGGGAGGGGAGUGAAAUAGAACCUGAAACCCUGCACUUACAAGCUGUGGAAGCACAUUUCUUGUGUGACCGCGUACUUUUUGUAGAACGGGCCAACGAGUUACGUUAAGUAGCAAGGUUAAGCACUUAAGGUGUGGAGCCGUAGCGAAAGCGAGUUUUAACUGAGCGUUCAGUUACUUGACGUAGACCCGAAACCGGGCGACCUACCCAUGAGCAGGAUGAAGCGAAAGUAAAAUUUCGUGGAGGUCCGAACCCACGAGCGUUGAAAAGCUCGGGGAUGACUUGUGGGUAGCGGUGAAAUUCCAAUCGAGCCCGGAGAUAGCUGGUUCUCCCCGAAAUAGCUUUAGGGCUAGCCUCAAGGUGAGAGAUACGGAGGUAGAGCACUGAAUGUCCUAGGGGGUAUUGCACCUACCGAAGACUAUCAAACUCCGAAUGCCGUCAUCUUAUACUUGGGAGUCAGACUGUGGGUGAUAAGAUUCAUAGUCGAAAGGGCAACAGCCCAGAUCGUCAGCUAAGGUCCCUAAAUGUAAGUUAAGUGGUAAAGGAUGUGGGAUUGCACAGACAACCAGGAUGUUGGCUUAGAAGCAGCCACUCAUUCAAAGAGUGCGUAAUAGCUCACUGGUCGAGUGAUCCUGCGCCGAAGAUUUCCGGGGCUAAAACUUACUACCGAAGCUACGGCAUCAGUAAUGAUGGGUAGGGGAGCUUCCCAUACGGGUUGAAGCAUGACCGUAAGGACAUGUGGACAGUAUGGGAGUGAGAAUGUUGGCAUGAGUAGCGAGAUGUGGGUGAGAAUCCCACAGGCCGUAAACCCAAGGUUUCCAGGGGAAGGUUCGUCCGCCCUGGGUUAGUCGGGACCUAAGCUGAGGCCGAAAGGCGUAGGUGAUGGACAACAGGUUGAUAUUCCUGUACUACCGAUAACCGUUUGAGAGAAGGGAUGACACAGUAGGAUAAGCUAAGCACACUGUUGGUUAUGUGUGCCCAAGCAUUGAGGCAGUCAAAGUAGGCAAAUCCGCUUUGAUAAUGCUGGGAUGUGAUGGGGAGCGAAAUUUAGUAGCGAAGUAGCUGAUUUCACACUGUCAAGAAAAGUCUCUAUCGAGGUUAAAGGUACCCGUACCGCAAACCGACACAGGUGGGUGAGGAGAGUAUCCUAAGGCCAGCGAGAGAACUGUUGUUAAGGAACUCGGCAAAAUGACCCCGUAACUUAGGGAUAAGGGGUGCCACCAUCAGGUGGCCGCAGAGAAUAGGCCCAAGCGACUGUUUACCAAAAACAUAGGUUUCUGCUAAGUCGCAAGACGAUGUAUAGGAGCUGACGCCUGCCCGGUGCUGGAAGGUUAAGGGGAUCUGUUAGAGCAAUCGAAGCAGUGAACUUAAGCCCCAGUAAACGGCGGCCGUAACUAUAACGGUCCUAAGGUAGCGAAAUUCCUUGUCGGGUAAGUUCCGACCCGCACGAAAGGCGUAACGAUUUGGGCACUGUCUCAACAACAGACUCGGUGAAAUUGUAAUUCCGGUGAAGAUGCCGGAUACCUGCGACAGGACGGAAAGACCCCAUGGAGCUUUACUGUAGCUUGACAUUGGGUCUUGGUACUACAUGUACAGGAUAGGUGGGAGGCUUUGAAACCAGGACGCCAGUUUUGGCGGAGCCAUCCUUGGGAUACCACCCUUGUAGUACUGGGACUCUAACCAUAGGCCAUGAAUCUGGUCUUGGGACACUGUCA